AACGAACGCUGGCGGCAUGCCUAACACAUGCAAGUCGAACGAAGGCUUCGGCCUUAGUGGCGCACGGGUGCGUAACGCGUGGGAAUCUGCCCUUUGGUUCGGAAUAACAGCUGGAAACGGCUGCUAAUACCGGAUGAUGACGAAAGUCCAAAGAUUUAUCGCCAGAGGAUGAGCCCGCGUUGGAUUAGGUAGUUGGUGGGGUAAAGGCCUACCAAGCCGACGAUCCAUAGCUGGUCUGAGAGGAUGAUCAGCCACACUGGGACUGAGACACGGCCCAGACUCCUACGGGAGGCAGCAGUGGGGAAUAUUGGACAAUGGGCGCAAGCCUGAUCCAGCAAUGCCGCGUGAGUGAUGAAGGUCCUAGGGUUGUAAAGCUCUUUUACCCGGGAAGAUAAUGACUGUACCGGGAGAAUAAGCCCCGGCCAACUCCGUG
rnacentral:rRNA from 1 species